UACGGAGGAUGCAAGCGUUAUCCGGAAUGAUUGGGCGUAAAGCGUCCGCAGGAGGUUGUGUGUGUAUAUUGUCAAAGCAUCAUGCUUAACAUGAUAAAGGCAGUAGAAACUACACGACUAGAGUGCGUUCGGGGCAUAGGGAAGUCCUGGUGUAGCGGUGAAUUGCGUAGAGAUCAGUAAGAACACCGGUGGCGGAAGCGCUCUGCUAGCACGCAACUGACACUGAGGGACGAAAGCUAGGGGAGCGAAUGGG
rnacentral:rRNA from 1 species